rnacentral:rRNA from 1 species
GUAGGUGGCAAGCGUUGUCCGGAAUUAUUGGGCGUAAAGCGCGCGCAGGCGGUUCUUUAAGUCUGAUGUGAAAGCCCACGGCUCAACCGUGGAGGGUCAUUGGAAACUGGAGAACUUGAGUACAGAAGAGGAAAGCGGAAUUCCACGUGUAGCGGUGAAAUGCGUAGAGAUGUGGAGGAACACCAGUGGCGAAGGCGGCUUUCUGGUCUGUAACUGACGCUGAGGCGCGAAAGCGUGGGGAGCAAACAGGGAUUAGAUACCCUGGUAGUCCACGCCGUAAACGAUGAGUGCUAAGUGUUAGGGGGGUUUCCGCCCCCUUAGUGCUGCAGCUAACGCAUUCAGCACUCCGCCUGGGAGUACGGCCGCAAGGCUG